GAACUAACAUCUUGACAUCUUGAAGAGGAUUUGCAGAAGGAUGGAAGCAGAACAUGUUACAAAUUCUUUUCCACUUGGCUAUUAUUAAACUGGCUCCAUUUCCUGCUCCCUGUAUUCAGCUCACAGAUGGCACCCUCCCAGGAUUGUUUGCUGUUCCUGGAACACACUGAGCACUAUGCAAUCAGGUUUUUGUGCUGGGUCCAGACUGGUUCCUGUGUCUCUUCCUUUUGAAAUCUCAUCUAUCUGUUUCAGCCUAAUUCAAACUCCCAGCAACGAAACCCCAACUAAGAUGGACAGGAAGCAGAAAGGCACUUGGAAUACACUCCCAUGAUGGAGCCUCACAGUGUGAACAAGCAUCAGUGUGCUGGUGAUGCUAGGAUCUACUGGAUUGCAUCAUGUAGACCCACUUUUGGCUGCAUUAGUUCGAUGGACACUGAAUCUUCAGGAUAAACUCCUUGCUUCCAGCCUCCAGCCUCUCUCCUCUCUGUAGCUAAUUAAUGAUCUUAACAUUUUGAUGCCUUUCACAGCUUUUUAUCAAAGUCAGAC